rnacentral:rRNA from 1 species
CCCUAGUAACCGCCCGUUACCACCGGGCGGUGAAUACGUCCCCGCUCCUUGCACACACUGCCCGUCGCUGCAUCCGAGCUGGAACUGGGCGAGGGCCUGUCUCGUUGGCGGGUUCGAGCCCGGCUCUGGUGAGGAGGCAGAAGUCGUAACAAGGUGGCCGCACGGGAACGUGUGGCCGGAUCACCUCCC